AUUGAACGCUGGCGGCAGGCUUAACACAUGCAAGUCGAGCGGAGAUGAGGUGCUUGCACCUUAUCUUAGCGGCGGACGGGUGAGUAAUGCUUAGGAAUCUGCCUAUUAGUGGGGGACAACAUUCCGAAAGGAAUGCUAAUACCGCAUACGUCCUACGGGAGAAAGCAGGGGAUCUUCGGACCUUGCGCUAAUAGAUGAGCCUAAGUCGGAUUAGCUAGUUGGUGGGGUAAAGGCCUACCAAGGCGACGAUCUGUAGCGGGUCUGAGAGGAUGAUCCGCAACACUGGGACUGAGACCCGGCCCAGAAUCCUACGGGAGGGAGCAGUGGGGAAUAUUGGACAAUGGGGGAAACCCUGAUCCAGCCAUGCCGCGUGUGUGAAGAAGGCCUUAUGGUUGUAAAGCACUUUAAGCGAGGAGGAGGCUACUGAGACUAAUACUCUUGGAUAGUGGACGUUACUCGCAGAAUGAGCACCGGCUAACUCUGUGCCAGCCGCCGCGGUAA
rnacentral:rRNA from 1 species